UACAGAGGUGGCAAGCGUUGUUCGGAAUUACUGGGCGUAAAGCGCGCGCAGGCGGUUUCUUAAGUCUGAUGUGAAAGCCCACGGCUCAACCGUGGAGGGUCAUUGGAAACUGGGGAACUUGAGUGCAGAAGAGAAAAGCGGAAUUCCACGUGUAGCGGUGAAAUGCGUAGAGAUGUGGAGGAACACCAGUGGCGAAGGCGGCUUUUUGGUCUGUAACUGACGCUGAGGCGCGAAAGCGUGGGGAGCAAACAGG
rnacentral:rRNA from 1 species